rnacentral:rRNA from 1 species
CUUUCCCUCUGGCGGCAUGCUUUACACAUGCAAGUCGAACGGUAACAGGCCUUCGGGUGCUGACGAGUGGCGCACGGGUGAGUAAUGCAUCGGAACGUGCCCAGAGGCGGGGGAUAACGCAGCGAAAGCUGUGCUAAUACCGCAUGUGAUCUGAGGAUGAAAGCGGGGGACCAGGCAGCAAUGUUUGGCCUCGCGCCUUUGGAGCGGCCGAUGUCAGAUUAGGUAGUUGGUGGGGUAAAGGCCUACCAAGCCGACGAUCUGUAGCUGGUCUGAGAGGACGACCAGCCACACUGGGACUGAGACACGGCCCAGACUCCUACGGGAGGCAGCAGUGGGGAAUUUUGGACAAUGGGCGCAAGCCUGAUCCAGCAAUGCCGCGUGCGGGAAGAAGGCCUUCGGGUUGUAAACCGCUUUUGUACGGAACGAAAAGGCUCUGGCUAAUACCUGGGGCUGAUGACGGUACCGUAAGAAUAAGCACCGGCUAACUACGUG